GAUUUAUUGGAAGGAAAAGAAGCUUCUCAUUCAGAAAAAAAACAACAUUUGUUGCUGGAGAAGAUGGUCCAUUCCAAGUGUUGGAGAUUAUCAAGGACAAUUCCAGCAAGAAUAAUUUUCUUGGUAGAUAUUAUGGUUCAAUUGUGUUUAGUAUAUCUAAUUUUUCUCCUUCUGAUAUAUAUGUAGAUUCG